rnacentral:rRNA from 1 species
GCUCGUAGGUGGCCAACUAAGUCAGACGUGAAAUCCCCAGGCUUAACCUGGGAACUGCGUCUGAUACUGGAUGGCUUGAAUUCGGGAGAGGGAUGCAGAAUUCCAGGUGUAGCGGUGAAAUGCGUAGAUAUCUGGAGGAAUACCGGUGGCGAAGGCGGCAUCCUGGACCGAGAUUGACACUGAUGAGCGAAAGCCAGGGGAGCAAACG